rnacentral:rRNA from 1 species
AGCUAGUUGGUGAGGUAAAGGCUCACCAAGGCGACGAUCUCUAGCUGUUCUGAGAGGAAGAUCAGCCACACUGGAACUGAGACACGGUCCAGACUCCUACGGGAGGCAGCAGUGGGGAAUAUUGCGCAAUGGGCGGAAGCCUGACGCAGCGACGCCGCGUGAGGGAUGACGGCCUUCGGGUUGUAAACCUCUUUCAGCAGGGACGAAGCGGAAGUGACGGUACCUGCAGAAGAAGCACCGGCCAACUACGUGCCAGCAGCCGCGGUAAUACGUAGGGUGCAAGCGUUGUCCGGAAUUAUUGGGCGUAAAGAGCUCGUAGGCGGUUUUUCGCGUCGGCUGUGAAAGCCCGGAGCUCAACUCCGGGUCUGCAGUCGAUACGGGCAGACUUGAGUGUUGCAGGGGAGACUGGAAUUCCUGGUGUAGCGGUGAAAUGCGCAGAUAUCAGGAGGAACACCGGUGGCGAAGGCGGGUCUCUGGGCAACAACUGACGCUGAGGAGCGAAAGCGUGGGGAGCGAACAGGAUUAGAUACCCUGGUAGUCCACGCCGUA